rnacentral:tRNA from 1 species
GCUGGUGGAGCACGACAGGACGUGCACCUGAUUUGUAAUCAGGAGGCAGCUGGUUCGAGGCCAGUCACCAGCU